UUUUUCUCUUUAUGGGUCUGUCCCUGGUCCUCAUGGAACAAAAGUGGGCAGUGGUGGUAUGAGAAGCAGAGGCUAAUUGUCUACCCCCUGCCUCCAAGUAGAAUUACUCCUUGUCUGUGUACCUGGUGAGGCAGUUGACUGCAGGAACCCUUCUACAAAAACUCAGAGCAAAGGGUAUCCGGAACCCAGACCACUCGCGGGCACUGAGUGAGUAACAUCUUUCCUCUCUUCCCCACCUGAUCUGGAUCCAAGUCUUCCUGGCCCUCCAGCCUUCACAAUUAAACCCAUACCUCUUUUUUGACAACUUCCUCCCCUUCUCACAUGAACCCCAACCCUCCCCGUCUACCCCUGACCAGUCUUCCAGUCUUUAUAGUUGAAGUUGGACCACUCCCAGGCACCUUUGAAUUUCCAAUCAUGUAUCUGCUUUGCACCUCACAGUUCCUAACUCCAGCCCUGCUAGAAUAUGGGCUCUCCGGACUGGAAAGAAUCUUGGGGGUCCUCUAAUCUAACCCUCACAUGAUGCUUCAACUCCUCCAGAUCAUCUCUAACAUAGCCAGAGUGUCACGCUAUGUUUAAGCAUCUUCAGGGAUGGGAAAAUCCCCCACACCCAGCCUUCAUCAUCCAUAUCCCAGACCACUUCCAUGUGACGUCCCACUGGCCCCCAAAGACGCUCCACCCAGCAGCCUCUCAGCCAGAGCCAUCUGUUCCUGGCCUUACCAACUCCUGGGCUCCCUCCAGCCUUGCUGACCUCAUGGCUCUGGCCUCACUUUUGUUUCAGUCAAGGAGAAAUUGACUGCUGAUCCUGACAGUGAGGUGGCCACUACGAGUCUCCGGGUGUCACUCAUGUGCCCGCUAGGGAAGAUGCGCCUGACUGUCCCUUGUCGUGCCCUCACCUGUGCCCACCUGCAGAGCUUCGAUGCUGCCCUUUAUCUACAGAUGAAUGAGAAGAAGCCUACGUGGACAUGUCCUGUGUGUGACAAGAAGGCUCCCUAUGAAUCUCUUAUCAUUGAUGGUUUAUUUAUGGAGAUUCUUAGUUCCUGUUCAGAUUGUGAUGAGAUCCAAUUCAUGGAAGAUGGAUCCUGGUGCCCAAUGAAACCCAAGAAGGAGGCAUCUGAGGUUUGCCCCCCGCCAGGGUAUGGGCUGGAUGGUGAGUGACCCCCUGUUCCCCAGCUAAGCUAAAUCUUGGAUGGCCUCUUCUCUGAGACAUAGUCUUCUUAAUACCCGCAGGCCUCCAGUACAGCCCAGUCCAGGAGGGAAAUCCAUCAGAGAAUAAGAAGAAGGUCGAAGUUAUUGACUUGACAAUAGAAAGCUCAUCAGAUGAGGAGGAUCUGCCCCCUACCAAGAAGCACUGUUCUGUCACCUCAGCUGCCAUCCCGGCCCUACCUGGAAGCAAAGGAGUCCUGACGUCUGGCCACCAGCCAUCCUCGGUGCUCAGGAGCCCUGCUAUGGGCACGUUGGGUGGGGAUUUCCUGUCCAGUCUCCCACUACAUGAGUACCCACCUGCCUUCCCACUGGGAGCCGACAUCCAAGGUUUAGAUUUAUUUUCAUUUCUUCAGACAGAGAGUCAGCACUAUGGCCCCUCCGUCAUCACCUCACUAGAUGAACAGGAUGCCCUUGGCCACUUUUUCCAGUACCGAGGGACCCCUUCUCACUUUCUGGGCCCACUGGCCCCCACGUUGGGGAGUUCCCACCGCAGCGCCACUCCGGCACCCCCUCCUGGCCGUGUCAGCAGCAUUGUGGCCCCUGGGGGGGCCUUGAGGGAGGGGCAUGGAGGACCCCUGCCCUCAGGUCCCUCUUUGACUGGCUGUCGGUCAGACAUCAUUUCCCUGGACUGAGUUCCUCGGAUUAUGGCAACUUCGCUGUCCCCAACACUGAGGAGGUAUGCUGUGGAGUCCUAACCCCAGCUACUCUGAUCCCUCUGGGGGUUCUGGCCAAGGGCCAGACAGACGUUCACAGAUGCCUACUUUUGGCCUCAUCUCUGCCUGACAAGGCCAGCACCCAAAGGGUUAAUAUUGAACCUGUUUUUAAGGACACUGGGGUCUGUUUUUGGAAAUGUUCUUUAGAUGGUGGCACAUUCCUUUGGGUAUGUUAACCUAGGCAGUGGGAGGCAAAUGGGAUGGGAUGUGAGCUGGAAGAAGGGCUGAACCCUCAGCCUUGACUAUGUCUAGAGCCUCUUGGGGAAGGGGCACCUCUCUUGAACCCCAAAUGCUCUCUUGUUAUCCCCCAAAUCCAUGGCUCUAUUUCUUCUUCACAUCCAUUGUCUCUUCAUGUCCAUUCCAUUCCCUUCGGCCAAACAGACAGGUGGAAAAACUGAGACAGGCAGUUUCAGAGAUGGACAGAGAACUUUAUUUUGGAUUGUGGAUGUGGACUUUUUUGUACAUAAAUAAGAAAAACCAAAAUACUCCAAAGAUGACUUCCCCUGCCUCCUACUCCAGUAUGACAGAGGAGGAUGUAAGGCCUUAGCCAUGAUCCCCAGGGGUUUGGGAGUCACGCCCGGCCUAUUGCUUGGGUCUCUAUUUAUAUAUUUAAGUUCACAGUGUUUCUUAUUCCACCCUAAGCUUCUAGAGGCUCAUGGCCCUGUGGUUAGGCCUGGCUCAUUCUGCACCUUUCCAGGGAGGUGGAAGGACCCUGUGCCCUCCUUCCCAAUCUUCUUUUUCAGGCUCGCCAAGGCCUAGGACCUAUGUUGUAAUUUUACUUUUUAUUUCUAAAGUUGUAGUGAAGCUCUCACCCAUAAUAAAGAUUGUGAAUGUUC
rnacentral:sRNA from 1 species